AUUGAACGCUGGCGACAUGCGUAACACAUGCAAGUCGAACGGUGUUUGGUGCUUGCACCAGACAUAGUGGCGGACGGGUGAGUAAUGCGUAGGAAUCUGUCUUAGAGAGGGGGACAACCCGAGGAAACUUGGGCUAAAACCGCAUAUUCUCGAGAGAGGAAAGCAGGGGACCGGAAACGGCCUUGUGCUCUAAGGUGAGCCUACGUCGGAUUAGCUAGUUGGUAGGGUAAAAGCCUACCAAGGCGAUGAUCUGUAGCUGGUCUGAGAGGACGGACAGCCACACUGGGACUGAGACACGGCCCAGACUCCUACGGGAGGCAGCAGUGGGGAAUAUUGGACAAUGGGGGGAACCCUGAUCCAGCGAUGCCGCGUGUGUGAAGAAGGCCUGCGGGUUGUAAAGCACUUUCAGUGGGAAAGAGAAGCGUCUUGUGAAUAAUGGGACGUGGAGACGUUACUCACAGAAGAAGCACCGGCUAACUCUGUGCCAGCAGCCGCGGU
rnacentral:rRNA from 1 species